AUUGAACGCUGGCGGCAGGCUUAACACAUGCAAGUCGAGCGAGCGGCGGACGGGUGAGUAAUGUCUGGGAAACUGCCUGAUGGAGGGGGAUAACUACUGGAAACGGUAGCUAAUACCGCAUACCAUCAGAUGUGCCCAGAUGGGAUUAGCUAGUAGGUGGGGUAAUGGCUCACCUGGGCGACGAUCCCUAGCUGGUCUGAGAGGAUGACCAUCCACACUGGGACUGAGACACGGCCCAGCCUCCUACGGGAGGCAGCAGUGGGGAAUUUUGGACAAUGGGGGAAACCCUGAUCCAGCCAUCCCGCGUGUAUGAUGAAGGCCUUCGGGUUGUAAAGUACUUUUGGCAGAGAAGCGGUAUCUGCAGAAUAAGCACCGACUAACUACGUGCCAGCAGCCGCGGUAAUAC
rnacentral:rRNA from 1 species